CGCGCGCGAGCCCUCCUCCUCGCGCCAGGGGAUGGCAAAUAGCGUGACCGUUUCCGCGAUCCACGUCACGAUGUCGGGAUUAGAGAAGAUCUGAAACUCCGAUCAGCGAUCAGACGGUUAGAUUGGAUCUGACGAUUCCGAAAACGAUUCCAACAAUGAGCAAAACCAGCAAAGCACAACUUCCAAAGGACACAACCACAGCGACCAGCACCGUCCAGUCAGGAGGAACUGCAAAGGAGAUGCUGCUGAUUCUCUCAGGUUCAUCUGACGGCGCCGGCUCCUGUCAGAAACCCAUUCCUGUUCUACGUCUUCUGGUUAAAUUCAGUGGUUUUGAAAUCCCUGCACUUGGUUUUUGUGUCACUGCUGAAGCGGAAAAAGGACCUCAUGACACUCAGGUGAAUGUGUUCAUCAUGAUUCCCUCUGUCAAAGAACCUCUAUAAGACCACCUUUAAAGUGAGAUCACCCAAGCAGGACAAAUAGUCCAAGUCUGGAACCACUUUUAGUUUUUGCCCUAAAGCUGUUCUUCAUGUCAAGCAGUUCCAAAGUAUUCCACAGUUUCCAGUCUGAUUCUCAUCAGUCUCGUCUUUAGUCUCAAAUUAAAAUAGGCAGAGUUUUAAUGUCUCAGCAGAAUCCAGAAACACCAAUUUAUGUUCUAGAACCUCAGCAUUCUGCUCUUCAGGCUAGAACUUCUUCCAGCUGGAGAACAAAUUCACCAACAUGGUUUCUGCUGGUCCCUGGUCCCCUACAAGACCCCCCCCCCCCAUUGGUCUGUUCCACACACCUACAGUCAUGUACCUGUCAGCAACAUUCAACAUUUAUUUGAUGUCCUUUUAUAAAGAAUCCCAAUAUCAUUUGUGUUUUAAAUAAUUAGAAGUAAAAAAGUUCUACAUUAGAUUAGAUCCAACUUGUCUAUAAAACUGACGGUAUGGUGGUGGGGAGGGGGCUACACAGAAAAGAAAACAGCAUCAUUUUUACAGUUAAAAAGGAGGAAAAUGUCUUUUUCAACCUUGAUAUUCCAUAACUUCUUGAAAACAUGAAAACCAAAGAAGCAAAAGAAACAAACAAACAAACAUGAGUCCUGAUGUGGAGGGGAGCGGAUAAACUGGGGGGUUUUUCCCGUCAUGAAAACGUUCUCACCAACGGUCAGGAAGACGGCGUCUGACAGGGGCUCCUGGAGGGUUGAAAUGGAGGCCAAACAUUUGAUGGUGGUGCUGCUGGAUGCGGAGAAGCUCAGGAUGCUGGUGGAGUUGUAGACCCCCCCAGAAAUGGAGCUGCUGGUGUUGAACAGACUGCUAUCCACAGCCUGCCCAUUCUCGCUCCAGCUGAUUGAAGGUGCGGGAUACCAGCCAGCCGCCACGCACUGAAACCGGACCUGCUGGACCUGGUUGACGGUUUGGUUCCCUCCAAGGAUGCGCAGAGUGCCGCUCUCUGACAAAACCACAGGUUUAGUUUUAUGACACAAUAAAACAGAAUAUCCACCAAAACUGCGUCAAAAACGUUCAGAUUGAUUACAUUUUUUAUCUUUAUCUUUGACAGGGACCCCGUCUGUUAGCUUGAUGGCGUCUGGACACGACAUUGGUUCCAUUUGAAAUGGUCACAAUGGUUUUUGUCCCCUCCCGUUUAAAUAAAUCAUAAUAAUAAGUUGUGGGCGGAGCUUCUGGAGUGAGCCGGCUUUUUUAUUCUCAUUAGUGGUGCAACAAAAACAGCAAUCAGUGUUGUUGCUGACCAGUCGUACAGUUUUAUCCAGAUGCAGGUCAGACACGGAAAUAUUUGUCUGUGAGUGGAUCCGUCACAAAGGGGCGGAGCAGGGAGACUGUGGCUCCACCCACUAGAUUUUAUGUUACAAAGAGUUUUCUUUGGAGUGGGUCUUUACAUAUUGUUUGUGUAAAAUACUUUUAUGAUGUAUUUAAUAAAAUGUUUUAAUGUUUCA